rnacentral:rRNA from 1 species
GACGAAGGGGGCUAGCGUUGUUCGGAAUUACUGGGCGUAAAGGGCGCGUAGGCGGUUCUUUAAGUCAGGCGUGAAAGCCCUGGGCUCAACCUGGGAGUGGCGCUUGAUACUGAGGAACUAGAGAGUGGGAGAGGUUGGUGGAAUUCCCAGUGUAGAGGUGAAAUUCGUAGAUAUUGGGAAGAACACCGGUGGCGAAGGCGGCGUCCUGGACCAACACUGACACUGAGGAGCGAAAGCCAGGGGAGCAAACGGG